GAYGACCUCAGAGUAGGUGAGACUACCCGCUGAAUUUAAGCAUAUCAAUAAGCGGAGGA
rnacentral:rRNA from 1 species